CAGGUACUCCCUCCGUUCCAAAUUACUCGUCAUAGAAAUGGAUGUAUCUAAAACUAAAAUACAUCUAGAUACACCCUUAUCUGCGACAAGUAAUUCGGAAUGGAGGGAGUACAAA
rfam:Triticum urartu cultivar G1812 contig747366, whole genome shotgun sequence.